CGAGUGAGCAGCGACUGCCUCAGCAGCUGCGGAGAGAGGAUGCUGCGAAUAUAGAAAGCUGUCGCUGAGACGGGGGAGAAACCAAGCGCUCAAAAUUAAACUGCGCUUUUAGAGAGGGGAAUCGCAAGAAUCAAUGGAAACACAGGUGGUGAACCUCGUCGCCUGCUUUAGUAGUGGACAGAAGACUUAAAUCUGAAGAAAAACAAUUCUGAUCAUCUGAACUUUGUGUGGUAGAUGAUAGUCUGUAGCCAUCUGUGAACAUGUGGUUUGGACUAGAAGCCUGGAGGAUGAAGACUGCAAAUAACACAGAAGAUGAAAAGAGCUGGAAGUGGAGGGACUUGGCUGCAGUUCUGGUGAUGCUGUAGCAGCACGGAAUGGUUUGUGGGUUACACUGAGAUGCAGGCCAUACUGUGCUGCCGCAGUAAUGCCUGAAUAUACAACCUGGCUGUCACUUUGCGCUUCUUCAACAUGUUGAAGCUGACUUGUUUGCUAUCACUCUUGGAUGUAGUCUCGACCUUCUAAAGUAAUGCCACGUAGACAAUUGUUUGGCUGAUUUCGCCUUUCUCCUUUGCUGGUCGCCUUACUGUAGCAGCACGUAAAUAUUGGAGUUAAGACUAGCUGAAGCCUCCAGUAUUGAUCGUGCUGCUGAAGCAAAGCUGACCACUCGCAAUCAGCUGCAACCAACCACUACUCAGACCACCCUGGUCGUGCCAAACUGACUGACAGCGAGUGAGUUCUUGAGAGACACAGGUACAUUGUUUACACACAGCUUUUGAGUUAACCUCCAACACUGCCUUGCUUUAAUAGUUAAAAUGUGUAUACACAAUCUUUUUACAUUUCACUGUCACCUCUGCACACUUGGAGAAAUAAAAUUUAAAUUGCC